GCUACCAUGCAGUCGAGCGAGAUCUUCGGAUCUAGCGGCGGACGGGUGAGUAACGCGUGGGAACGUACCCUCUUCUGCGGGAUAGCCACUGGAAACGGUGAGUAAUACCGCAUACGCCCUUCGGGGGAAAGAUUUAUCGGAGGAGGAUCGGCCCGCGUUGGAUUAGGUAGUUGGUGGGGUAAUGGCCUACCAAGCCUACGAUCCAUAGCUGGUUUUAGAGGAUGAUCAGCCACACUGGGACUGAGACACGGCCCAGACUCCUACGGGAGGCAGCAGUGGGGAAUCUUAGACAAUGGGCGCAAGCCUGAUCUAGCCAUGCCGCGUGAGUGACGAAGGCCUUAGGGUCGUAAAGCUCUUUCGCCUGUGAUGAUAAUGACAGUAGCAGGUAAAGAAACCCCGGCUAACUCCGUGCCAGCAGCCGCGGUAAUACGGAGGGGGUUAGCGUUGUUCGGAAUUACUGGGCGUAAAGCGCACGUAGGCGGAUUGGAAAGUAUGGGGUGAAAUCCCAGGGCUCAACCCUGGAACGGCCUCAUAAACUUCCAGUCUGGAGUUCGAGAGAGGUGAGUGGAAUUCCGAGUGUAGAGGUGAAAUUCGUAGAUAUUCGGAGGAACACCAGUGGCGAAGGCGGCUCACUGGCUCGAUACUGACGCUGAGGUGCGAAAGUGUGGGGAGCAAACAGGAUUAGAUACCCUGGUAGUCCACACC
rnacentral:rRNA from 1 species